rnacentral:rRNA from 1 species
CUUGGUCAUUUAGAGGAAGUAAAAGUCGUAACAAGGUCUCCGUUGGUGAACCAGCGGAGGGAUCAUUACCGAGUUUACAACUCCCAAACCCCUGUGAACAUACCACUUGUUGCCUCGGCGGAUCAGCCCGCUCCCGGUAAAACGGGACGGCCCGCCAGAGGACCCCUAAACUCUGUUUCUAUAUGUAACUUCUGAGUAAAACCAUAAAUAAAUCAAAACUUUCAACAACGGAUCUCUUGGUUCUGGCAUCGAUGAAGAACGCAGCAAAAUGCGAUAAGUAAUGUGAAUUGCAGAAUUCAGUGAAUCAUCGAAUCUUUGAACGCACAUUGCGCCCGCCAGUAUUCUGGCGGGCAUGCCUGUUCGAGCGUCAUUUCAACCCUCAAGCACAGCUUGGUGUUGGGACUCGCGUUAAUUCGCGUUCCUCAAAUUGAUUGGCGGUCACGUCGAGCUUCCAUAGCGUAGUAGUAAAACCCUCGUUACUGGUAAUCGUCGCGGCCACGCCGUUAAACCCCAACUUCUGAAUGUUGACCUCGGAUCAGGUAGGAAUACCUGCUGAACUUAAGCAUAUCAAUAAGCGGAGGA